UACGUAGGGGGCAAGCGUUGUCCGGAUUUAUUGGGCGUAAAGAGCGUGUAGGCGGCCAGGUAGGUCUGCCGUGAAAACUCGAGGCUUAACCUCGAGCUGUCGGCGGAAACCAUCUGGCUAGAGUCCGGAAGAGGAGAAUGGAAUUCCCGGUGUAGCGGUGAAAUGCGCAGAUAUCGGGAAGAACACCCGUGGCGAAGGCGGCGACCUGGACAGGUACUGACACUCAACUACGAAAGCGUGGGGAGCAAACAGG
rnacentral:rRNA from 1 species